rnacentral:rRNA from 1 species
UACGUAGGGUGCGAGCGUUGUCCGGAUUUACUGGGCGUAAAGAGCGCGCAGGCGGUCGUUCAAGUCGCGUGUGAAAGCCCCCGGCUCAACUGGGGAGGGUCACGCGAUACUGAUCGACUCGAAGGCAGGAGAGGGAAGUGGAAUUCCCGGUGUAGUGGUGAAAUGCGUAGAUAUCGGGAGGAACACCAGUGGCGAAGGCGACUUCCUGGCCUGUUCUUGACGCUGAGGCGCGAAAGCUAGGGGAGCAAACGGGG